rnacentral:rRNA from 1 species
AUUGAAUGCUGGCGGCAUGCCUUACACAUGCAAGUCGAACGGUAACAGGUCUUCGGAUGCUGACGAGUGGCGAACGGGUGAGUAAUACAUCGGAACGUGCCUAGUAGUGGGGGAUAACUACUCGAAAGAGUGGCUAAUACCGCAUGAGAUCUACGGAUGAAAGCAGGGGAUCGCAAGACCUUGUGCUACUAGAGCGGCCGAUGGCAGAUUAGGUAGUUGGUGGGAUAAAAGCUUACCAAGCCGACGAGCUGUAGCUGGUCUGAGAGGACGAUCAGCCACACUGGGACUGAGACACGGCCCAGACUCCUACGGGAGGCAGCAGUGGGGAAUUUUGGACAAUGGGCGCAAGCCUGAUCCAGCAAUGCCGCGUGCAGGAUGAAGGCCUUCGGGUUGUAAACUGCUUUUGUACGGAACGAAAAGCCCUGGGUUAAUACCCUGGGGUCAUGACGGUACCGUAAGAAUAAGCACCGGCUAACUACGUGCCAGCAGCCGCAGUAAAAC